rnacentral:rRNA from 1 species
GACGAACGCUGGCGGCGUGCUUAACACAUGCAAGUCGAACGGAAAGGCCCUGCUUUUGUGGGGUGCUCGAGUGGCGAACGGGUGAGUAACACGUGAGUAACCUGCCCUUGACUUUGGGAUAACUUCAGGAAACUGGGGCUAAUACCGGAUAGGAGCUCCUGCUGCAUGGUGGGGGUUGGAAAGUUUCGGCGGUUGGGGAUGGACUCGCGGCUUAUCAGCUUGUUGGUGGGGUAGUGGCUUACCAAGGCUUUGACGGGUAGCCGGCCUGAGAGGGUGACCGGCCACAUUGGUCCUGAGAGACGGCCCAGACUCCUACGGGAGGCAGCAGUGGGGAAUAUUGCACAAUGGGCGGAAGCCUGAUGCAGCAACGCCGCGUGCGGGAUGACGGCCUUCGGGUUGUAAACCGCUUUCGCCUGUGACGAAGCGUGAGUGACGGUAAUGGGUAAAGAAGCACCGGCUAACUACGUG